UUUGAAAUGUUUUAUAAAAUAAUAUGCGCAGACAUCAAAAAUAUCAAAAAAUCGAUACUAUCGUUCGUGAACUUGGAAUACCUUGCUUUAACCACCUCUUCUCGUGUUCUUAUUAUUAUUUUUAAUCGAUGGCGUUUCGGUGACACCUGUUCUCACCCAGCACGGUCGCCGCGAGUGCAAUGAAAUUUUCUUGAAGAUUCUUUCAUUUAUUCGAAA
rnacentral:lncRNA from 1 species